UAAGACGAACCGUGCAAACGUUGUUCGGAAUCACUGGGCUUAAAGGGCGCGUAGGCUGUUCGUUAAGUCUUGGGUGAAAUCUUUCGGCUUAACCGGAAAAUUGCCCGGGAUACUGGCGAGCUCGAGGGUGGUAGGGGCGAUCGGAACUGCCAGUGGAGCGGUGAAAUGCGUUGAUAUUGGCAGGAACGCCGGUGGCGAAAGCGGAUCGCUGGAUCACUCCUGACGCUGAGGCGCGAAAGCUAGGGGAGCAAACGGGAUUAGAUACCCCGGUAGUCCUAGCCUUAAACGAUGGGUACUAGGUUGCGGGUGUGAUAUGCACUCGCAGCCGAAGCAAAAGUGCUAAGUACCCCGCCUGGGGAGUAUGGUCGCAAGGCUG
rnacentral:rRNA from 1 species